rnacentral:rRNA from 1 species
UUAUUUGAUUCCAAAUUCAGAGCAAUGCCUAUUGUACCCUCUUCAAAUU